rnacentral:rRNA from 1 species
ACGGAAGGCAGCAGUGGGGAAUAUUGGGCAAUGGGCGCAAGCCUGACCCAGCAACGCCGCGUGAAGGAUGAAGGUCUUCGGAUUGUAAACUUCUUUGAUCAGGGACGAAUAAAUGACGGUACCGGAAGAACAAGUCACGGCUAACUACGUGCCAGCAGCCGCGGUAAUACGUAGGUGACAAGCGUUAUCCGGAUUUACUGGGUGUAAAGGGCGUGUAGGCGGUUUGGCAAGUCAGAAGUGAAAUUCCCGGGCUUAACUUGGGCGCUGCUUCUGAAACUGCUUUACUUGAGUACUGGAGAGGAUAGUGGAAUUCCUAGUGUAGCGGUAAAAUGCGCAGAUAUUAGGAGGAACACCGGUGGCGAAGGCGGCUAUCUGGACAGUAACUGACGCUGAGGCGCGAAAGCACGGGGAGCAAACAGGAUUAGAUACCCUGGUA